AACCAAUUUUUUAAUCUCAAAAGACGUGAUUCAGGAAUACUCUUAUUUUUAAAGUCUACUACCUUGGGAAAUGAUGAUCAGGCAGCAGCGCCCUAUGAGAUAAAAUUCAAAUUUUUUCAUUCCAUUUUUUAUUGUUAGUAUUUUUUUGUAGAUUGUAUGGUAGUGUUUUUCAGAGUCUUUGAACUAUCCGCUUGCAUGACCACAUAUAUAUCGUUUUCCUUCUAUUUCUUCGAGAAGAAUAGCUCCCCAAUAUUUAUCACUAGCAUCAGUCUGUAAGAUCCUUUUUACUGUGCUAGGGAUCUUUAAGAGGGGUAAAUCCUAUGCGAUGGUAUUCAAUUUUUGGACAACUGUCAUUUGUGCAGUGCUCCAAAGAGGGGCUUAUUUUUUCAGUAUUUUUG
rnacentral:misc_RNA from 1 species